GAACGCUAGCGACAGGCUUAACACAUGCAAGUCGAGGGGCAGCGGGGGUAGCAAUACCCGCCGGCGACCGGCGCACGGGUGAGUAACGCGUAUGCAACUUACCUAUCAGAGGGGGAUAACCCGGCGAAAGUCGGACUAAUACCGCAUGAAGCAGGGAUCCCGCAUGGGAAUAUUUGCUAAAGAUUCAUCGCUGAUAGAUAGGCAUGCGUUCCAUUAGGCAGUUGGCGGGGUAACGGCCCACCAAACCGACGAUGGAUAGGGGUUCUGAGAGGAAGGUCCCCCACAUUGGUACUGAGACACGGACCAAACUCCUACGGGAGGCAGCAGUGAGGAAUAUUGGUCAAUGGCCGAGAGGCUGAACCAGCCAAGUCGCGUGAGGGAUGAAGGUUCUAUGGAUCGUAAACCUCUUUUAUAAGGGAAUAAAGUGCGGGACGUGUCCCGUUUUGUAUGUACCUUAUGAAUAAGGAUCGGCUAACUCCGUGCCAGCAGCCGCGGUAAUACGGAGGAUCCGAGCGUUAUCCGGAUUUAUUGGGUUUAAAGGGUGCGUAGGCGGCCUUUUAAGUCAGCGGUGAAAGUCUGUGGCUCAACCAUAGAAUUGCCGUUGAAACUGGGGGGCUUGAGUAUGUUUGAGGCAGGCGGAAUGCGUGGUGUAGCGGUGAAAUGCAUAGAUAUCACGCAGAACCCCGAUUGCGAAGGCAGCCUGCCAAGCCAUGACUGACGCUGAUGCACGAAAGCGUGGGGAUCAAACAGGAUUAGAUACCCUGGUAGUCCACGCAGUAAACGAUGAUCACUAGCUGUUUGCGAUACACUGUAAGCGGCACAGCGAAAGCGUUAAGUGAUCCACCUGGGGGGUACGCCGGCAACGGUGAAACUCAAAGGAAUUGACGGGGGCCCGCACAAGCGGAGGAACAUGUGGUUUAAUUCGAUGAUACGCGAGGAACCUUACCCGGGUUUGAACGCAUUCGGACCGAGGUGGAAACACCUUUUCUAGCAAUAGCCGUUUGCGAGGUGCUGCAUGGUUGUCGUCAGCUCGUGCCGUGAGGUGUCGGCUUAAGUGCCAUAACGAGCGCAACCCUUGCCACUAGUUACUAACAGGUAAAGCUGAGGACUCUGGUGGGACUGCCAGCGUAAGCUGCGAGGAAGGCGGGGAUGACGUCAAAUCAGCACGGCCCUUACAUCCGGGGCGACACACGUGUUACAAUGGCGUGGACAAAGGGAAGCCACCUGGCGACAGGGAGCGAAUCCCCAAACCACGUCUCAGUUCGGAUCGGAGUCUGCAACCCGACUCCGUGAAGCUGGAUUCGCUAGUAAUCGCGCAUCAGCCAUGGCGCGGUGAAUACGUUCCCGGGCCUUGUACACACCGCCCGUCAAGCCAUGGGAGCCGGGGGUACAUGAAGUCCGUAACCGCGAGGAUCGGCCUAGGGUAAAACU
rnacentral:rRNA from 1 species